GAUGAAGAACGUAGCGAAAUGCGAUAAGUAAUGUGAAUUGCAGAAUUCAGUGAAUCAUCGAAUCUUUGAACGCACAUUGCGCCCGCCAGUAUUCUGGCGGGCAUGCCUGUCCGAGCGUCAUUUCAACCAUCAAGCCCCGGGCUUGUGUUGGGGACCUGCGUCCGACGCAGGCCCUGAAAACCAGUGGCGGGCUCGCUGUCUACACCGAGCGUAGUAACUAACCUCGCUAUGGAGUGGCGCGGGCGCCUGCCGUAAAACCCCCAAUUUCACAAGGUUGACCUCGGAUCAGGUAGGAAUACCCGCUGAACUUAAGCAUAUCAAUAAGCGGAGGA
rnacentral:misc_RNA from 1 species